GGGUUGGUAGCUUAAUUCGGCAGAGCGACAGUCUUGCAAACUGUUAGGUGUGAGUUCGAGUCUCACCCAAUCCA
rnacentral:tRNA from 1 species